AUGGCGAGUGACAGUGAGCUGCUGGUGGCGGCGGAUCCUGAGUCGAACCCCACUGCCACCACCAUAUCCUCCCUCGCCCGGGAUGAACUUCUCGAGAUCUUCCUCCGCCUGCCGGACCUGCCGGCGCUCGCCCGCGCCGCCUUCACCUGCCGCACGUGGUUCGGCGCCGUCCGCUCCUCCCCGCCCUUCCGCCGCCGGUUCCGCGCCCUCCACCCGGCGCCCCUCAUCGGGUUCUUCCUCGACACCUACGGCGCUCCCACCCCCUCCUUCUUCCCCGUGCGCCCCUUGGAUCCCGACGUCACCCCCGCCGUCCGCCGGGGCGACUUCUUCCUCACCUCUCUCCCCGCACCCGCGUCCCUAAGGUGGAACGUCGCCGACUGCUGCGAUGGGUAUAUCCUCCUCUGGGAUACCACCGAGGUGGCGCUCGCUGCUCUCAACCCCAUCACCUGGGCUGUCCACUCCCUCCCGAUGCCUCCUGCCGAUGAUAUCAGGGCGGGCGCAGACAGCGCCGAGGAUAUCUGGGCCGACGCGGACAACGCCCAUGAUAGUUGGGCGGACGCGGACAACCUAGGCGGCUUCACCUUCCUUGGUUUUCACAUCUUGUCCUCUGACGACAACCCUCGGUCGUUCCGAGUGGUCUGUAUCUGCAGUGAUGAAUAUAGGGUUCGUACCGUGGUCUUCUCGUCGGAGACAUGGGACUGGGUCAUCCAUCCGUGGGUGGAAGGGACAACCAUGAGGGCUAGUGAUGGCAUGAUGGCUGCCGGUUCCAUUUACUGGCCUUGCCCUAGCUAUGGAACUGGAAGCAUGAUCAAAAUUGACACUGCCACAAUGGAUAUCACCACUCUGGACAUGCCCAAUGGAGUGGACAUGGGGGCAGGCAGUAUCAAGGUCGGGGAGACCAAGGAUGGUGAACUUUGUAUUGCUCAUGAUCUUAUGAUCUCCUUCUCAAUGUUUGGAUCCAUAGUGUUGACGGGGUGGGCGCGGCACUAUGAUGGAGACCUCGAGGUUGUGCAAGUUAAGAAUGGAUGCGUUUACUUAUCAGCAAAACUGAUGUGCCCUCUUGGCGCACUCUGCCGCUGGGUUUUCUCCCUUUCCUUGGAGACUAUGAAGCUUGAGUUGCUGGUUGAGGGAAGGUAUUCAGAUAUACUGAAACUAGUGGUGCGAAUUGCUGGAGCUAAUGUGUUUUAUCUGUGA
rnacentral:rRNA from 1 species